CCUACGGGCGGCAGCAGUGGGGAAUAUUGCACAAUGGGCGAAAGCCUGAUGCAGCAACGCCGCGUGAGCGAUGAAGGCCUUCGGGUCGUAAAGCUCUGUCCUCAAGGAAGAUAAUGACGGUACUUGAGGAGGAAGCAUCGGCUAACUCCGUGCCAGCAGCCGCGGUAAUACGGAGGAUGCGAGCGUUAUCCGGAUUUAUUGGGUUUAAAGGGUGCGUAGGCGGGAUGCCAAGUCAGCGGUAAAAAUGCGGUGCUCAACGCCGUCGAGCCGUUGAAACUGGCGUUCUUGAGUGGGCGAGAAGUAUGCGGAAUGCGUGGUGUAGCGGUGAAAUGCAUAGAUAUCACGCAGAACUCCGAUUGCGAAGGCAGCAUACCGGCGCCCUACUGACGCUGAGGCACGAAAGCGUGGGUAUCGAACAGGAUUAGAUACCCUGGUAGUC
rnacentral:rRNA from 1 species